rnacentral:Y_RNA from 1 species
GGCUGGUCCGAUGGAGUGGUUUAUCAGAACUUCUUAGCAUUAGUGUCACUAAAGUUGGUAUUCAGCCCCCCAUUGCUAAAUUUGACUGGGUUAAA